UACGUAGGGGGCUAGCGUUGUCCGGAAUCAUUGGGCGUAAAGAGCGCGUAGGCGGUCCGGUAAGUCGGUUGUGAAAGUCGGGGGCUCAACCCUCGGAUGCCGAUCGAUACUGUCGGGCUAGAGUCCGGAAGAGGCGAGUGGAAUUCCUGGUGUAGCGGUGAAAUGCGCAGAUAUCAGGAGGAACACCAAUGGCGAAGGCAGCUCGCUGGGACGGUACUGACGCUGAGGAGCGAAGACGUGGGGAGCGAACAGG
rnacentral:rRNA from 1 species